GACGAACGCUGGCGGCGUGCUUAACACAUGCAAGUCGAACGGAAAGGCGCUGCUUUUGUGGGGUGCUCGAGUGGCGAACGGGGGAGUAACACGUGAGUAGCCUGCCCUUGACAUUGGGAUAACUUCAGGAAACUGGGGCUAAUACCGGAUAGGAGCUCCUGAUGCAUGGUGGGGGUUGGAAAGUUUCGGCCGUUGUGGAUGGACUCGCGGCUUAUCAGCUUGUUGGUGGGGUAGUGGCUUACCAAGGCUUUGACGGGUAGCCGGCAUGGGAGGGUGACCAGCGACAUUGGGACUGCGAGACGGCGCAGACUCGUACGGGCGGCAGCAGUCGGGAACAUUGCAGAAUGGGGCGAAGCCUGAUGUAGCAACGCUGCGUGCGGGAUGAUGGCUUUCGGGUUGUAAACCGAUGUCGCCGGUGACGAAGCGUGAGUGACGGUAAUGGGUAAAGAAGCACCGGCUAACUACGUG
rnacentral:rRNA from 1 species